rnacentral:rRNA from 1 species
GAUGAACGCUGGCGGCGUGCCUAAUACAUGCAAGUCGAGCGAACGGACGAGAAGCUUGCUUCUCUGAUGUUAGCGGCGGACGGGUGAGUAACACGUGGAUAACCUACCUAUAAGACUGGGAUAACUUCGGGAAACCGGAGCUAAUACCGGAUAAUAUUUUGAACCGCAUGGUUCAAAAGUAAAAGACGGUCUUGCUGUCACUUAUAGAUGGAUCCGCGCUGCAUUAGCUAGUUGGUAAGGUAACGGCUUACCAAGGCAACGAUGCAUAGCCGACCUGAGAGGGUGAUCGGCCACACAGGAACUGAGACACGGUCCAGGCCCCGACGGGAGGCAGCAGUAGGGAAGCGUGCGCAAAGGGCGAAAGCCUGACGGAGCAACGCAGCGUGAGUGAUGCAGGUCUUCGGAUCGUAAAACUGUGUUAUGAGGGAAGAACAUAUGUGUAAGUAACUGUGCACAUCUUGACGGUACCGAAUCAGAAAGCCACGGCUAACUACGU